rnacentral:rRNA from 1 species
UAUUCCCCACUGCUGCCUCCCGUAGGAGUCUGGGCCGUGUCUCAGUCCCAGUGUGGCUGGCCAUCCUCUCAGACCAGCUACUGAUCGUCGCCUUGGUGAGCCAUUACCUCACCAACUAGCUAAUCAGACGCGGGCCGCUCCAAAGGCGAUAAAUCUUUCCCCCGAAGGGCUCAUCCGGUAUUAGCACAAGUUUCCCUGUGUUGUUCCGAACCUAAGGGUACGUUCCCACGUGUUACUCACCCGUCCGCCACUAUCCCGAAGGACCGUUCGACUUGCAUGUGUUAAGCCUGCCGCCAGCGUUCAUCCUGAGCC